AGUGAACGCUGGCGGUAGGCCUAACACAUGCAAGUCGAACGGCAGCACAGUAAGAGCUUGCUCUUACGGGUGGCGAGUGGCGGACGGGUGAGGAAUACAUCGGAAUCUACUUUUUCGUGGGGGAUAACGUAGGGAAACUUACGCUAAUACCGCAUACGACCUACGGGUGAAAGCAGGGGAUCUUCGGACCUUGCGCGAUAGAAUGAGCCGAUGCCGGAUUAGCUAGUUGGCGGGGUAAAGGCCCACCAAGGCGACGAUCCGUAGCUGGUCUGAGAGGAUGAUCAGCCACACUGGAACUGAGACACGGUCCAGACUCCUACGGGAGGAAGCAGUGGGGAAUAUUGGACAAUGGGCGCAAGCCUGAUCCAGCCAUGCCGCGUGGGUGAAGAAGGCCUUCGGGUUGUAAAGCCCUUUUGUUGGGAAAGAAAAGCAGCAGGUUAAUACCCCGCUGUUCUGACGGUACCCAAAGAAUAAGCACCGGCUAACUUCGUG
rnacentral:rRNA from 1 species